rnacentral:rRNA from 1 species
AGUGAACGCUGGCGGCAGGCCUAAUACAUGCAAGUCGAACGGCAGCACAGUGGAGCUUGCUCCAUGGGUGGCGAGUGGCGGACGGGUGAGGAAUACAUGGGAAUCUGCCCAGUCGUGGGGGAUAACGUAGGGAAACUUACGCUAAUACCGCAUGCGCCCUUCGGGGAAAGCCGGGACCGUAAGGCCUGGCGCGAUUGGAUGAGCCCAUGUCGGAUUAGCUAGUUGGCGGGGUAACGGCCCACCAAGGCGACGAUCCGUAGCUGGUCUGAGAGGAUGAUCAGCCACACUGGAACUGAGACACGGUCCAGACUCCUACGGGAGGCAGCAGUAGGGAAUAUUGGACAAUGGGCGCAAGCCUGAUCCAGCCAUGCCGCGUGAGUGAAGAAGGCCCUCGGGUUGUAAAGCUCUUUUGUCCGGAAAGAAAGCACUGGGUUAAUACCCCGGUGUCCUGACGGUACCGGAAGAUAAGCACCGGCUAACUUCGUGCCAGCAGCCGAC